GACAGAGGUGCCAAGCGUUAGGCGGAAUCACUGGGCUUAAAGCGUGUGUAGGCGGAUUUGUAAGUACCUUGUGAAAUCCCACAGCUCAACUGUGGAACUGCUGGGUAUACUGCUUAUCUUGAGCCACUUAGGGGCUGUCGGAACAAAUGGUGGAGCGGUGAAAUGCGUAGAUAUCAUUUGGAACGCCAACGGUGAAAACAGACAGCUGGGAGUGUGCUGACGCUGAGACACGAAAGCCAGGGGAGCGAACGGGGA
rnacentral:rRNA from 1 species